ACCUGCCCCAGGUGAAGUAAGUUAGUAAACAGCAGUUCCUAGAUUUGAGCGGGGCCCUCAGGGUUUUGAAUGCAGACAUGUAAUUGCAACAUGAUUCGGCUGAUCAUGUAGCCAGGGUGUGGGGUUUAUAAAAUAGACGUGAAUAAAAAAAAGGGGCAGGAUGACAGUGAAGCUUGCUCAUGGGUUUUGUGGAGGGCGUAGAUUGGAACCAAAAAGCACGCCUCGGCUUGGUGCUCCCUGUCGCCCUCUGUUGACAUGGGGAGAGAAGAGCGGGUCUGACUCGGAAAUGACGCCAUAAUGCUGAGGAACCACUCCUGGCGUUGCGGAAGGUGGGGUGUGGGGCCGGAAGACCCUCCCCCCGCGUCUUCAGAGGAGCGCUGUUUCUGGAGGAGUUAGGGGAAGGAGGCUGCCUGGUAAGCCAGGAAAGGGGCUUCUGGCCGUUCUGUUGGAGCGCCUCUGACUGACUUCCCCCAUGUGUCCGUGUGGCCACACCGUGCUACUUUCAGAGGCAGUGGGCUUUUCGCUAAGGGAUAAAAAGAAGUAAAACCUUGCCUUUAGCGCAGCUCUCCUUCACUGGGCAGAUUGCUCUCCCUCCCCACUCUCCCAGGCCCAAAUUGGAUCUCAGCGCCUGGGAGCUCCAACUUUAGCAAGUGCGAAAUCCUGUCUUCGGUUUUGGAAUUUUCAUCCGCACAGACUAUAUCAGCCACGGAUAGGAUAUGUGAGAAUACCAGCAUGUCAAGGCUGGGAAUCAUCCUUAGGCAUCACCUAGCCAGUCCUGCCUCUCAUUUUAAGGUGAUCACAGGAUCUGGUUUGCCACUGAAAGGAAUCUUGAUGCUGACCACUUCACCUCGGAGAGCAUGAACUGCUCCCAUGCCUUCAAGAGUUUUAGUGGGUAACCAGGAUGGAACUGCGGUGUUGCUUGCAGGAGAAGCUUACUACUGGUUUCUACUUCUCCAACCUCAUUGGUGGCUAUGCAGGCACUGUCUCCAGACUGUCUAUAUUCAACCCAGUAUCCAAGAAUUUCUUUACCACCAUCACAUUCAGGUUUCUCCCACUGUAGAGUGACACUAUCUUUGGAUAUUGAAAGAAUCUCAAGUUCUCCUGGUUGGCUUGGUUUAUCUGAAAUAUUUUAAAAUAAUGAAAAGGGAGUCAGCUUUACUGGUGAAAUAAAAGGACCAAACAUGGCUUGCUUCUUUAAUUUAACCCCUUCUUCUGAAUUCCUUACCAAAUGGAUCUUUGCAAACAACUGGUUCAGAAGCAGGGCUGGUCUCACUCAGGCCAACAUCAUUCUGUGCGAUGAUGCGGAACUGAUACUCAGCAUCGGGAACAAGCCCUGUGACAGUGUACAUUGUGGUGGUGAUCUGAGUCUUGUUGUGUCUGACCCACUUGUCAGUGGAUGUCUCUUUGCGUUCGAUGUAGUAGCCUGUGACUCUAGAACCACCAUCAUCUUUGGGCCGGGACCAGGACAAGCUAACAGAACUCUUGGUUACAUCGAGUACUUCUGGAGGAUUGCUUGGAGGUUCUGGAGGAUCUGUAAAUAUAAGUGGAAAGCACACAUGUAUUAGAAUACAGUCCCAAGUAUUAUAAGCCAAUGACUUUCAUUUAAAAACAGAAAAGUGCUGAAAUAAUGUUUAUAAUUUUGUGGUUGAAAGGGCACUUACUCAAUGGUGUUUUUGGUGUGACUGGUUCCUCAGAUUUCAAGGGUUUGCUUAUGCCAAACUGGUUUUCUGCUGAAACACGGAAAUGGUAUUCUACAUUCUCUUUGAGGCCUUUUACCACCAGAGAUGUACCUCGGACUCUGGAAUCAAUGGUAUACCAGGCGGCUUUAGGCACUUCUCGUCUCUCGAGGAUGUAGCCUAAGAUGUCAGCACCACCAUCAUCAGCAGGAGGUCUCCAGCUGACCCUCACAGAGCGGACUUGGAUGUCAUCAUAUUCCAGUGGCCCUUCUGGACUGUUGGGACUUCCUAUCACCCUGACCUUGAUGUAGACAGCCUUCUUGCCACAUUUAUUUUCCAGAACCAGGUCAUAAGUGCCAGAAUCACCCCUGUCUGCUUCUUUGAUCACAAGCUCAGUGUGUGUUUCAGAUGUUGCAAUCAUGGCACGCUUACUAAUAUCCUGGCCUUCCUUGGUCCAUUUACAUAUUGGGAAUGGUUUUCCUUUGAUUGGUAUGCAGGCUCACCAGGUCCACCAGCAUUACAAGCUAGGACGCGGAACCUGUAUUCUGCACCCUGAGAAUCAGAGGUGGGGAGAGUGGUGGAAGGGCCUGUGGACUUACGGAUGCUGCUGCGACACUCUAUGACCUCAGACUGCAAGUAAGAGCCAAUCCCGAAGCGGUUUGUUGCAGCCACACGGAACACAUACUCAUUUCCUUCGAACCAGCAAAGAACCAGGAAGCAGCAGGAGGUGGACGGCCAGCAAUAGGUAUCACCAG
rnacentral:lncRNA from 1 species